AUUGAACGCUGGCGGCAGGCUUAACACAUGCAAGUCGAGCGGGGGAAGGUAGCUUGCUACUGGACCUAGCGGCGGACGGGUGAGUAAUGCUUAGGAAUCUGCCUAUUAGUGGGGGACAACAUCUCGACAGGGAUGCUAAUACCGCAUACGUCCCACGGGAGAAAGCAGGGGAUCUUCGGACCUUGCGCUAAUAGAUGAGCCUAAGUCGGAGUAGCUAGUGGGUGGGGGAAAGGCCGACCAAGGCGACGAUCUGUAGCGGGUCUGAGAGGAUUAUCCGCCACACUGGGACUGAAGCACGGCCCAGACUGCUGCGGGAGGCAGCAGUGGGGAAUAUUGGACAAUGGGGGGAACCCUGAUCCAGCCAUGCCGCGUGUGUGAAGAAGGCCUUAUGGUUGUAAAGCACUUUAAGCGAGGAGGAGGCUACUUUAGUUAAUACCUAGAGAUAGUGGACGUUACUCGCAGAAUAAGCACCGGCUAACUCUGUGCCAGCCGCCGCGGUAA
rnacentral:rRNA from 1 species